GAAGUGCUUUAGGGGUGCCAACAGGCUGAGACAAUACCCUCAAAACCUGAUCAGGAUAAUGCCUGCGAAGGGAAAAGUAAAAGAAGAUUU
rnacentral:ncRNA from 1 species